AAAAAAAAAAAAAAAAAAAAAAAAGAAAGAAAAAUAAAAAGAAAAAAAAAAAGAAUAAAAACAUUCACCAUCCUUAUCCUCAUGGACUGCCAGUAAAGAAAGAUGCAAAGAAAUCCAAAAUUAAUGUACUACAUAAGUAAAAUACAAAGAAAUAAAAAAUUAAUCACACUACCAAAGAGACAUAAUUUUCCAAUUGAUUUAGGACUGAACACAUGCAUGUAACUACUCUUUUUUCUAAAAUCUCACUAAAGAAUUCUGAAUAGAAUAGAAAAAAAAAUUACAAAGUCUAAACCCCAAAGGACAAAACAGAAUGACAAAGGAGAUGAUAAUAAUAUCUGGGGAGUUGGCUGCCAGAUAGACAAGCGGUAAUUGCCGGUAUCAAAAAAAAAAAAAAAAAAAAAAAAAAAGUAAACCAAAUCCUAAUCUCCCAAUGGCAAAAAAAUAAAAAAGCCAUCUUUACCCUGCUAAUCACCUGACCAUGAAAAGAGUCAAAUUCUGUAAAAUAUUUGAAGAGUAAAUUAUUCUGUAAAAUAUUCUGAGGCAAAUACGAGUGGUCAUGACCCAAGGCACAGUUUCAAGAGGUCCUAAGAACAUGUGCCCAAGGUGGUUGGGUUGACAAAAGACAUUAAUCUACACAUGUGAGGCAUCCAUAGGUUUGGGGGUGAGGACGGGACAGGAGCACGGGUGGGUAGUGUAGGAGUUUAUAGGUCAUAGGGUUAUAGGUGGAGUCAAAGAUUUUCUCAUUGGCAAUUGGUUGAAAGAGUUAUUAUCUAAAAACCUGAAAUCAAUAGAAAGGAGUGUCUGGAGGAAGAUAAAGGGUGAUGGAAACCGAGGUUCUUAUUAUGUAGAUAAAGUCUCAUAGGUGGCUGCCCUUAGAGGCAAUAGAUGGCAGUUGUUUCCUAUUCAUACCUGUAAAGGGUUCUAGUCUCCCAGUUCAUCUCUUUCAGGAUUGGAAGAGACUGAAAAGGAUAAGAUUUAGUGAUGUUCAUCAUAUUCUUGACAGAUGCGAAUUUUCCUUCACAACAGAAGGCUUUGUAGGGCCACUCAAAAUAUGUCAAAGAGACAUAUUUUGGGGUAAAAUAUUUUGAUUUUCUUCUUUAUCUGUCAUUUGAUGUUAUGCCAGAGUAAGGUUAGAAAGUAAGCUGUGUUAUAUAGGAUCAAAUAAAACCCAUCUGGUGAGAUUUUAUGGUUUGUAGGGUGUUACUCAAUCCCCAGGCCUCUUAGGAAUUUGAGCAAGACAGGAAAAAGGUCAGAGUUUAUUCCUCACACCUCCAGAAGUAGUGAUGAAGAUAUGAAUUUUAAAAAAAUAUUUGUUGAAAUUCGGUUUAAAAUAUAAUUAGAAUAUCAGAUCCCCUUGCCCACUUGAUGCUGCCAGGUGAAUACUCCCACACCCCAUUUUGGGAGAUAACUGGAGGAUUCGUUUCCAGAAAAGGGAGAAGAAAGGGUCUCCAGACUGCCAUAGCAAACACCACAGACUGGGUGGCUUAAACAAUAUAAAUUUAUUUUUUCCCAGUACUGGAGGCUGGAAAUUCAUGAUCAAGGUGCAAAGUGCUGUCAGGGUUGGUUUCUGGUGAGGUUUCUCCUCUUGACUUCCCCUCUUGGCUGCCUUCUCACUAUGUCCUCACAUGGCCUUUCUUUUGUGUACUGGAGGAGAGUUCUCUGUUGUCUCUCACACAUCUCAUAAGGACACCUAAAGAUACCAGUUCUACCAUAUCAAGGCCUCACCCUUAUGACCGCACUUAACCUUAAUUACUAAUGUAUAGGCCUAUCCCCAAAUAUACUCACAUUGGAGUUCAGGGCUUUAACAUAUGAAUUUGGGGUAACCAACUCAAUUAAUGACAGUUGUAAGGUUUCUGUGUCGGUUUGAACCCCCAGAGCACGCCAACAGACAACACGAGGCGGUGUGGAGCAACAUGCUGUUUUAAUGAGUGCCUGGGUGCAGGAAGGCUGAGGCCUAAAAUGGUGUCAGCACCAAGUGAGGACAGGACAAAAGUUUUAUAGUCUCCUGUAAACAGGAAGUGUUCUAGUCAGACAUAACUGCUAUAUUGUACCUGGAUGGCCUCUUUCUCAGUCUUAAGGGGCAUGUGUCUUCAGUACAGGGUAGCUGUCUUUCUGCCGGCUCUUUUCCUGUUUCUGCUGUCUUGCCGAAAAGCAGGCUCUUUGCCUGCUUCUGCUGACUUCAGUAGCCUUGUGCCUUAGUAGUGGGCCUGAGAAGGGAGGAGUUAUUCAUCUCCUUAAGCUUUCAGGCCCCAGGGAGAAUCUUACAUUCCUGUCUAUUUGGUUAUAGAUCAAAGGGAAAAGGGGCAACUUUCUCAAUAACUACUUCAGGCGUGAUAGAGGGGGUGGUGUGGGCACCUUGGAAAAAGAAAACCUUAAUUUUUGGGGUAUUGCUGAGAGACGGGUUUGUAUCCACUGUGUCGUUGUAGUAGGAGCAUCAUCUGGAUUGUCUGGAAACGCGUCUGUGCCUGCAAGACAGUUAUGUUGAGAGGACAAGGAGGUGUCAACAGGGAGAGGCAUGGCCUCAUUUGCUGCUUCACGCGUGAAAGACUGUGUCUGGAUUAAGGAGGAGAGGUAAUUUCUGAGUGGCUUAGAGUUUGGUAAGGGUGGAGGCCUUAAGAUAGAAGUUCCGCCAUACACGAUUUUAAAGGGACGAUAAAAAGAGGGUGCUUUUGGUGUUGUGCGGAGUCUCAUGAGGGCAAAAGGGAGAUUGUUUUGUCCAUGGCUGGUGGGUUUUUACAGCCAGCUUGGUGAGUUGGGCUUUAAGGACAGAGUUAAUUUUUUCAACUUUGCCUGAAGAUUGAGACCUGUAGGGUGUGUGGAGAACCUACUUCAUAUUUAAGGAUGUAGAGAUACUUGGGUAAUUUGGCUGAUGAAGGCGGGCCUGUUAUUCAGCUGGAUGGAUGUUGGGAGUCCAAAAUGGGGAAUUAUAUGCAUGAUGAGAGUUUGUGUGACAACAUUUGCACCUUUUGAAGUUGUUGGGAAUGUUUUUACUUAGCCAGAGAAAGUAUAGACAAAGACUAGAAGAUAGCAGAGCCAUUUAUUGGAUGGCCUGUGAGUGAGGUUUACUCACCAAUCUUGCCUUGGUACCUGGCUCCAGGCUUGAUGAGUAGGAAAAGGUGGCGACUGGAGGGAGUCUUGGGGUGACACUGAGUGGCAGAUAGAGCAGGACUGGGUAAUUUCUCAGAAAUGGCUGAAAAGGUGGGGACAAGUAAGAACAGGACGGAGAAGUUGCAAGAGAGGUUUGUAACCGACGUGGAAAGAGUUGUGGAGGCUCUUGCAGGUGAGGAAGGUUUUGAGAGUGAGGAAGAACGAAGCACCUUUCCUUGACAUACCAUGGUCCUUGCUUUUGAAGGUUUUGGGCUCAGAGGUUCUCCUUUUCUUCUGAGGUGUAAAGAGGAGAGAACAAGGACAGGGACAGAAACUGGCCUUGCAUGGGUUGCAGGACUAUUUCUUUCGCUACCUAAUCUGUUAGCGCAUUUCCAACGGAUAUAUGAUUGUCUGGGGUGUGGUGGCCCCUGCAAUGAAUGAUGGCAACUUUCUGCAGGAGCCUGGCAGCUUGAAGGAGUUUGUUGAUGAGAGAGUCAUUUAUGACAGGAGCGUUUUUUGCUGUUAGGAAACCCAGUUUUUUCCAGAUAGACGAAUGUGACUGUACUAUAUGGAACGUAUAAUGAGAAUUUGAAUAUAUGUUAAUUUGUUGUCCGCCUGUCAGUAUGAGAGCUUUAGGAUAGGCAAUGAGUUCAGCUUUUUGAGAGGUAGUGCCUAGGGGGAGUGGAUUGGCUUCAAUAGUAUGUGGGGUGGGGCGGGGACACUAUAGUAUAGCCAGCAUGCUGGCGUCCUUGAUGUAGGAAGGAGCUGCCAUCUACAAACCAAGUAAAGAAGAGGUUGGUCUGUUAGGUUUGGACAAAGUAGAAGAAAGGUUUGAACAGUGUUCACACAGAAGUGCGUAGGGUCUUCAGCUGUUGUAGCUUCAGGUAAAAGCAUGGGUGGGUUUAGACGGGAGCUGGUUAGCAUAGUGAUUUGGGGGAUUUCUAUGACUAGAACAUACAAUUGGAGGAGUCGUGGGGCAGAGAUGAGACGUAGUACACUGCGGUGAGUUGGCAAGUCUUUGAUGUUAUGGGUUGAAUAAACUGUUAGGUUGGCAUGGAGAGAUAGUUUUAGGCUUUUAAGGGUGAGGACAGCAGCUGCUGCCAAUGCUCGGAGGCAGCGGGACAUCCAAGAACUGAGGCUUUAAGCUGUUUAGAGAGGUAGGCAAUAACCUGGGGGUGGGUCCUUUAGCCUGGGUUAGAACACCUAGCGUAACUCUAUGCUGUUUGUCGGUAUAGAGGGAGAAAGGUUUGGUGAGAUCUGGGAGAGUGAGGAUGGGGGCUGAGGUGAGAGCCUUCUGGAGUAGAAGGAAAGGCUAGGUAAUAGGCUGUGCAGAUUUUAAAUGCUCAUGGAGGGGGCAUUAGCAGCUUGGUAUAAUGGUUUGGCAAGUAGAGCGAAGGAGGGAACCUAGAGCCUAAAAUAUCCCGAGAAUCCUAGAAAAAGAGAUUUUUUUGCUUAGUUCGCGGAGGCAGGAGGGAUUGGAGGAGGGAUAUGCAGUCGGCUGUGAGCCCUUGGGUUCACGGGGUAAGAGCUAGACCUAGAUACGUAACUAAGGGGAUGCAUAUUUGUGCUUUCUUAUAGGAGAUCUAAUAUCCCUGUUUUGUCAAGAAGUUUAAAAGAGAGAGAUAGUGUGGGGGUUGCAAUCUUUUUGAGAGGGGCUACACAGGAGCAGAUUAUUAACACAUUGAAGUAGAGUGGAUGGUUUUAGGGAUAAGGUACAGAGGUCACUAGCAAGGGCCUGUCCAAAAAGGUGGGGGCUGUCCCUGAAACCUUGAGGUAGUACGCACCAGGUGAGCUGACGUGAAACGUGGGAGUUGGGGUUUUCCCAUGUAAAGGCAAACAGAUUUGGGGAAUCAAGGUGUAAAGGAAUUGUUUAAAAAAAAAAAAAAAGCAACUUUUAGGUUUAGAAUAGAAAAUUGGGUGGUAUUGGAGGGAACUGCGGAAAGUAAAGUAUAUGGGUUAGGAACUACUGGACAUACUGGGAGUACAGCUUGGUUAAUGAGUCUGAGGUCCUGGACUAAGCGAUAAGUUUCAUCUGGCUUUUUAACAGAUAUAACUGUUUUAAAAGGAGUUUGUUGGGUGGAGUAGGUGACUGGUGAGGAGGCAAGAAAUGAUAGGCUUUAGGCCUAUGAGAGUUGCUUAGGGGAUGGGAUACUGCUUCUGUGACAGGAACUGGGUGGGUUUUUUAAGGGCCAUGUGGAGGGGUGUGGUGUUUUCUGACUGAGUGUGUGGAAGUGUUCUAAACAGCGAGGUUACAGAUGGGGGAUAAGGAAAAGUUGCAUGUUUUAAGGUGGGAGGUUGGAGGAGUAGAAUAAAGUUAAAAGCCCUGGAGGGGUCUGGGUUGAUGUGUUGGGUACUGUGGGGAACACAGAAGUGAAGAGUAGUGUGGAGUUUUGAAAGGAGCGGAGUUUGGCAUGAGGACAGGAGUAAGAAAGAGUGAGUGAAGGAAAAGGUGGCAGGGAGCAGAAAAGUGGAGGGGUGGCUUGGGGUUUGGAGACUUUUCUAUUAAUUUCUACAACAGAGACUUGGGAGAACGUGGUGGGUCCUGAAAAAUUAGGUAAAGCCGUGUAGGUUGCCCUGGUAUUAAUUAAAAAACAUACUGGCCUACCCACCGCCAUCAGGGUUACCCUUGGUUGGGAUGAAGAGAUGGUAGUUGCCAGGGUGUCCAUUUCAGGGCACCAUCAAGUCUUCAGUGGCAAGGCUGAUGAGAUCCGAGUAGGAGGUUUUGGCCGGCUUAGGAAGGAAUGGGGGCGGUCCUUGUGGGGUCCGCUCACAGUCCAACCUCCAGUGGAGUCCUCCACAGAGAGGACAUGGCCUCGUGGGCUUACUUGGGUUUGGGCAUUGUCUGGACCAGUAGACUUCAUUGCCGCACUUGAAACAGGCGCCAGGUGGAGGUGGAUUGCUAGGCGGCUUCCAUGUGGAACUGCAGCCCUGCGGGCCUGCAGGACCCCUGAUGGUGGAGGCGUCCCCCUAAGACCAGAUGAUCAGCAACUGCCUAGCACACACUGGAACCUUCUUGGACCAACGUUGGAUUUUUGGACCGGAGAAACCAAGAGAGUCCAUGCAGAUUUUUCCCUGUUAACAGGGCUCCCAGGAAACUUACUGGUAGGUGAGAUCCGUGACCGAUGUGCAUGCAGAGGGGUGACUGGAGGAUGAGGAGUUUCCUUUGUCGGGCUGCUCUUUGAGGUGGAGGGGUAGGUCCACAGAGGAUUCUGACCUGAGCCCCUCCCAGAUUUCGGGACCAGAAUGUAAAAUUUUUGUAUUGGUUUGAACCCCAAGAGCACAACAGACAACACGAGGGGGUGUGGAGCAACACGCUGUUUUAAUGAGCGCCUGGGUGCAGGUGGGCUGAGGCCUAAAAUGGCAUCAGCACCAAGUGAGGAUGAGACAAAGGUUUUAUAGUCUCCUGUAAACAGGAAGUGUCCUAGUCAGACAUAACUGCUAAGUUGUACCUGGAUGGCUUCUUUCUCGAUCUUCAGGGGUAUGUGUCUUCCCACCAGGGUAGCUGUCUUCUGGCCAGCUCUCUUCCUGCUUCUGCUAUUUUGCUGAUGCUCGCUGCUAAUGUAAGUGGCCUUGUGCUUUGGUACUGGGUCUGAGAAGGGAGGAGUUACUCAUCUCCUUAAGCUUUCAGGCCUCGGGGAGAAUCUUACUAUAGUGAAACCAAAAAGCAUUAAAUAAGUGUUUAUCCACUUGCGCUAUUAUUUAGCUAGCAGUCCCCAUGCAGGAGGCUGGACAAGUCUACUCUGUUAUCUGCACAACCUAAAGAGUCUGACAUGAGGGCAUUUUCCAGCGUGAUGGGCAAAUGGGAUUACCUUACAAUAAACCCCAUCAUGUGCAGAACACACUGUUAAAAAAAAAAAAAAAAAAAAAAAA